UUUCAUGCACAUUUGGUGUAUUAUCUUCUGACCUUCAAGAACUAUCUUCACUGUCUCUCCCCGCUGCAUUGUCUCACUCGUUCUCCUUCUAUUUACUCUGGGCAGGCAUGAUGUACAUCUGGUGGUCGUCAAGUCAAGGAACCUCCUCUUCUUGCUGCGGCAGUCCUCCUCCCGCUGCUCUGCUCUGCUCAACAGCUAGCGUCCAUGGCUAAAACAAAGGGCGACUAGUGAUGCGGCACAGCAAGCAGUAGCAGGCACCCGAAGCAGCAGCAGCAGGGGGAGGGGGUCUCUCGAACGUCGCUACUGUCACUGAUUGAUGAUGGAUGAUCUCUCUCCCUCUCUUGCAAGCGUCUAUAAAUGCUGGUAGAAAUAGAAAUGGUAGCUAUAGUCCCAUGUUGUUGUAGUCCCAUGUAGUUCCUUCUCUCGGACUGCCCUUUGUUGCUUCAUUUCUAUGUUAAUUCAGUCUCUGUCAAAUGUAUCCACUAUCUAUUAUCGUGGCUGUGUAAUGAAUCCUUUUGUGUUGAAAGAAAUAAAAUGGUUUGGAUACAUUUGUACA